AGAGAGAUAGAGAGAGAGAGAGAGAGAGAUUACUGUAGCCUAAGCCGCGUUGCUCCUCACUCGGCUGCAUCUCUUUCGCUCACCUGCUCUGGAAUUUUAUGAUACGCAGCUUUUUUCAUCAGACAUCUUGAGCUGUCCUCCUCCAGGUGACAUGGAUUAAACUGAAUUCUCACUCUGUGAAGAAGGUGCGGCUUUUAGCGGCGCUUCCCGAAGUUGUUCCACAUCCCGGAGAGGUCGGUACCGGCUGGCUUUGCGCUCAGGAGGGGAUUAGAGAGGAGACAGCCUACCUGCCACUCGGAGAUGAACGCACGUCAUGCUGCUCCUCUUCAGCAGAGCGAUGGACGGAGAGAAAGCAGAGCGGGGCUGUAACUGGCGCCUUCAUGGAGCCCUGAUACGCAGGGCAGAGAGCAGGUGUGUGUAGUGUGUGUGUUUGUGUGUCAGUAUUUCUGAUUGGGUAAAAGCCAAUGUUAAACAGAUUGUGUUUGUGUUGGAAAACAAAUGUAAAGAUGACAUCAUUCUAGGGUUAAAGAGAGUGGCAUAAGGAGAGAGUGAGACAUACAGACAGUAAGAGAGAAGGUGGUUGUGAAGCAGAUAUAGACAGUGUGUGUGGUGCUAUGGUUUUAAACAUGUCUGUACCCCUAAACAAACCUGCAAGGUGUCAGGGAAGCUCAGUGUAAUCUGGCUCAGAGAGAGUGACGCACAAAGUCCCUGUCACAGCCUGCAGACACACUCUGUAAUCCCAUUUGCCUCUUCUGUGUGCAAGCGUGUGCGAGCAUUAUGCAGAAGUUCAGUUAAACUUGUGUGCAUGCUCAACUUCAUCAUGGACCCAAAAUAAGAUUGUUAUGCACUAUUUAUUUGCCCCUGAGAAAUGCAGUAUAAAGGAAACUGAUUUACUUCUUGUAUGUACAUUACAUAAUAAUAAUCAUAAUCAACAAUAAUGAUAAUAAUAAUCAUCUGUGGCUCGGAUGUGCAGGGACUGUCUGCAAAUUGGUACACCGAAAAAGCUGCUGUGUAAAAGUGCUCUAUAUUCAAAUAUGAACUUUGUGUUUAAAUAGCCAAAAAUAAAAACUUAAAGUAAGAAAUGGUCUAUACUAAGAAAAACAUUAAUAUGUGAAAAGCUAUGAGCACAUGAAGUAGUACAAUGGAAUAUCUAGUGUCUGAAUUUGGCCACGGGAUUGCGGUAAUCUAUAACAAAAUAUUAAAUUCCUGCGAGCCUGGUUCUCAUAAAGCGUGAAAUUCCUGCAUGAAUUUCGAAUGAUGUCGGCUUUACAUCCCCUCAUAAGUCACAGAGCAAACAUUUGCAUGGUUGAGUUCUAGACAGACUGAAGAGAGAGAGAGACAUUAGUCUGGAUCACCUGUGCUCACACACACUGAUAGGGUGGCGGGACAAGCGUUGUGCCUUAAGAUUAGGAGUUUCAUGUUUGUGUGGAUAACACACAAACACAUUCAUCUUAAAAGGAGAGCAGACUAAAGUAGUUUGUGAACAAAACCCUCAAAUAAAUUGCAGAACAGGCCACAAUUAAGAAAUGCAUCAUCUCAAAUGACCCAUUACAUGUAAGAUGAUUGUUCCCCUUGUGACUUAUGUGUUGUAUGUCAUUUGCAUGGGUUAAGGGGUUAAAUUAAUUACAUUGGUAAACUUUAUACUUGUUAUUGAUAUAUAUAAUCAAGUUCUCAGGCAUGUUCAGGCCCCCAAAAAAUGCAUUCAAAGAGUCAGAAAGAAAAAUAAUAAUACUAAUUGCUUCCAUGUUAAUAGAGUCCUCGCUCCGACGUCGGGCUCAGCCCUAAAAAUAACUCCUAAUACAACACCUAAUACUUAUGAUAAUAAAGCCUGACAGUUUCAAGGCAACAAUGUUCAUAAGCAAAACACUCACAAGAUGAGUAUAUAUAU